rnacentral:rRNA from 1 species
UACGAAGGGGGCUAGCGUUGUUCGGAAUUACUGGGCGUAAAGCGCGCGCAGGCGGUUCUCCAAGUCAGUGGUGAAAGCCCGGAGCUCAACUCCGGAAUUGCCAUUGAAACUGUUGAACUUGAGGAUGAGAGAGGUGAGUGGAAUUCCCAGUGUAGAGGUGAAAUUCGUAGAUAUUGGGAAGAACACCGGUGGCGAAGGCGGCUCACUGGCUCAUUUACUGAGCUCAGGCGCGAUAGCGUGGGGGAUCAAAACAGG